UGCUCACCUGCUCCGCUCCUCGUCACAGCCAAAAACAGCCAACAAAGCGUGGCCAGCAUCUGAUGUCGACCUUUCCCAAGCAUACUACACACUAUUAUCCUUGUGUUGGCGUUUACCGUAUGGAUGGUCCUUUCAGCGAAGACAUUCUCUAAAUACUCAGCAUGUAUCUUCAUCAUGGCCCCCAGUUGUGAGAGGUCAAAUACCAGCCAGGAAAGGUCCCAGGGAUCCUCUACCUGCCCCAUGACUGCCUCUCUAAUUGCUCCUUUUUCUCUCAUUUACAAAGCUUGAUGGGGGCCAGGGGUUAGAGAGAUGGGGUCAGGUGAACAGGGACUCCUACUUCCAGUCAUUUUAAUCUCCAAUGUUUGUCCAGGCUGCUCAUACAUGCGUGUGUGGAGCACAUGGUAUCACUCCACACUUCUCUAUCUCUCUCUGUCUUUGUGUUCUGACUAUUAUUUCACAUGUUACUCCAGGGAUAAGGAGGAUUAAGGAGCUUCCUAAUAUGACUUUGGAGGCUCCAUAGGCCAACAUGAUCCGGCACUGAUUCAUGUCUCGAAGUACUUCAUCUAUUCAGUGUAUGUUGAUUUGGAGCAAUAAAGUUAAAGCCAUCUAGCCUAAA